GAUGAAGAACGCAGCGAAAUGCGAUAAGUAAUGCGAAUUGCAGAAUUUCCGUGAGUCAUCGAAUCUUUGAACGCACAUUGCGCCCUCUGGUAUUCCGGAGGGCAUGCCUGUUCGAGCGUCAUUAUCACCCCUCAAGCCCGGCUUGUUGUUGGAUGCAGCGCUCAUCCCGCUCCUCCCAAAGAUAAUGACGGCGUCUGCGACGACUCCUGUACACUGAGCUUUCGGGCACGUACACGGCUAGAAGUCCAGACCCGGUCGCCGUCCCCCCCACGGGACACCCAUUACCACAAGGUUGACCUCGGAUCAGGUAGGAAUACCCGCUGAACUUAAGCAUAUCAAUAAGCGGAGGA
rnacentral:misc_RNA from 1 species